GACAUAGGUGGCGAACGUUAUCCGGAAUUAUUGGGCGUAAAGGAUGCGUAGGUGGUAGUAUAAGUUGCUGGUCGAUGCCAAACUCAAUUUGACGGAAGCUGGUAAUACUGUUCUGCUAGAGGGCAGGAGAGGUUGAUGGAAUUCUGUGUGGAGCGGUGAAAUGCGUUGAUCUACAGAGGAACACCAAAAAAGGCGAAGGCAGUCAACUAGUCUGUUCCUGACAUUGAGGCAUGAAAGCGUGGGGAGCAAACCGG
rnacentral:rRNA from 1 species